AACGAACGCUGGCGGCAGGCCUAACACAUGCAAGUCGAGCGAAGCCUUCGGGCUUAGCGGCGGACGGGUGAGUAACGCGUGGGAACGUGCCCUUUGGUACGGAAUAGCCCCGGGAAACUGGGAGUAAUACCGUAUGUGGUCGAGAGACGAAAGAUUUAUCGCCAAAGGAUCGGCCCGCGGUGGAUUAGGUAGUUGGUGGGGUAAUGGCCUACCAAGCCGACGAUCCAUAGCUGGUUUGAGAGGAUGAUCAGCCACACUGGGACUGAGACACGGACCAGACUCCUACGGGAGGCAGCAGUGGGGAAUCUUAGACAAUGGGGGAAACCCUGAUCUAGCCAUGCCGCGUGAUCGAUGAAGGCCUUAGGGUUGUAAAGAUCUUUCAGUGGGGAAGAUAAUGACUGUACCCACAGAAGAAGCCCCGGCUAACCCCGUGCCAGCCGCCGCGGUAACAC
rnacentral:rRNA from 1 species